GGGCGGCAGACGGGUGAGCCGAUGCAGGGGCCGCGGCCGCUAAAGAUAUCGAGGUUACCACGCUCAUAGUAGUCGUGGGAGGGUCCCAUUAGGCCCCAGGAUUGAAGGUCUGGGAACCAAACAGAGCGGCCUUGUGGAUCACCGAGGGCCACGCUGAUCUUGGAAUCGGUUCCAGCCUUGAUGAUGGAUCCGGUCUUGACGUAGAGGGUGUAAACGCAUUCGUCGCUAUGAUCUCCAGCAGCAGCAGAGAUGAGUGCGAUCAAGAGUACUGUGGUGUAGAGACUCUUCUUCAUUUCUUUAUCUGCCUCACAGCUUUGGACUUUGUGAACUACGAGUAGAUUUUUG
rnacentral:misc_RNA from 1 species